AAAACUCGAAAAAGAUGCCCCAAACGACUCCUGCCCUCAGCGUCGCGCCACAGACCGUCCCUUCCUCCGAGGCGAGCCACAGGUGAACCUCUCCAAGGUCGGAAAUGACAUCAUUCCAAGCGCCGAAUUCCCACUUCCUAGGUAAAAUGUCAAAUGACCUGUCCCCCCACCCAACAGACGUCGUUCUCCUAAACGUACCCAUUAUCCGGCAGUUGUACCACUGGGACUGCGGUUUGGCGUGCUCGAGAAUGGUAUUAAAAUAUCUACAUCCAGUGAGUGAAGAUGAGUUCCAGAGAGCUUGCUGCGAACUGAAAUUGACAGAAAGCGUGUGGACUAUUGACCUCGCUUAUCUCAUGUGCCAGCUAGGCGUAAAACACUGUUUCUGCACACAAACAUUGGGUGUAGACAAGGGCUUUAAAAACCAGUCUUUCUACAAAAAGCAUUUUGAUUCUGAAGAGGACAGAGUAAAUGAACUCUUUUUGAAAGCAGAGAGCAGAGGCAUAGUGGUAAAGAAAUGCUCUGUGACUGUUCAGGAGAUCCAGGCUCAUCUGAACCAUGGACAUGUGGCCAUUGUGCUGGUAAAUGCUGUAGUGUUAGUGUGUGAACUCUGCUCGACUUCAGUCAAGUACUGCUGCUUUCUACCUGUGAAUCAGAAGUGUUUCUGCAGUGCACCUGAUUACCAAGGUCACUUUGUGGUAGUGUGUGGAUUUAAUCGUACCGCUGGGUGCAUCUUCUAUAAUAACCCUGCUUAUUCUGACCGUAAGUACUGCACAUACAACUGAUAGAAAUAUUAAACCAUUAACAAAAGAUAUACUAUCAAGUAAAACAUUUACCAGUCUAGUGACAUCCUUUGUGAAUUGCAGUUUUUUUUAUGAAAUAUUUUAUAUGGGUACAUUCAAAUCCAUUUGUUUGCCAAGACCAAAUGUGUGUGAAAAAUCAUAAUUUAUAUUUAUUUACUGUUUGGUUUAGUUUCUUAAUUAUUCUUGAUGAAGUAAAAAUUGCUGCGAGGUGUGUGAAGCUGGAAACAUAAUCCUGAAACACUUAAUUCAUUGGUCUAAUAUAUAAUGAUAGAAGAAGUUAAUUAUUCCUUGACCAAGUCCACACUAGACUAGUUAAUUAUGCAGAUAAAUAUUUUAAAACAUUUGUGUAGCACAUUAGCUUUUAUUUUCUUUUAUUUCUUGUUGACAGAAUCACUAUAACACAUUGCAUUUCUGCAGCAAUAAAGCCCUGGCCUUUGAAUAAGUUUAACAUCUUACUCAAGCAAUGCCACCCACAAUCCAAAACACUUCCUACAGAUGCUUUUUUGAACUGUUUUCUCCUGCAGUUCAGAAGAUCAAAUGAAACAUUUACAUUUCUGACAUUUGGUUGAGACAUUUUUUAUCUCAUUUUAUAUACCCGAGCAAUUGGGGCCUUGCUCAAGGGCCCAGCAGUGGCAGCUUGGUGGACCUGGGAUUUUACUAAGCUACCACUUCCCACACCUCCUGUUCAUUUGAGUUUGUGGUCUGGCCCAGAUAAAGUGUCUGCUGUACAAGCAUUAGCAAUUUUGAAGAAGCAAGAAUGAGCUAUGGUACAGAUGAGGACAUUCUUUUCAUCUUCAAGGAAAGCUGAUCACUAGAUGGAACUUUUUCUUUUGUUUCAUGGUUAGGGCUGUUUUGUAGACAUUUAAAAUAUAUAAAUAUGAUUAUAAUUAAUAAACAAAUAAGUGCGGAGACCUCCAGAAGCUAGCAAAUGUAUAUAGCCCACAUUCAUGAGCACACACCUUGACUUCUGAAUGAACAAACAAAAAGGCUGAAACUUGGAAUCACCUAAUGCAAAUAGAACAGGUAUGGCUGUAAUGUGACUUUAGUAUUAAGGUAAACCAUAAUAAAACAUAAAAGUGUUAAUGCACAAAUAUAUAAGCAGUAUAGACCCACAUUGUUCUACAGAAAAUGGUAAAUAAGGUGCACAAUAAUUAAUGCUACAACUACAUGCAUAUACAACUACUGAGCAGCAGUAAGUGGUUAAUGGGAGAGAGAAGAAUGACCAGACUGAUUCUUAAAUAAAAUAAAAAUUUUAUAAGAUAAAAAUGAUUGUUCCGGAAAGAGCUUCAUGAAUUAGAACUGACCGGAAGGCUUUGGUAACUCUAACCAUUCUUUACAACUGUUGUAAGCAAAAACGCAGUCCAAUAUGCGCAUGCUGAACCUUGGAGUGGAUAGGAUAUAACCCAUCAAGUGGAUAAUUGAAUAAGUGUUCGGGUUGUAACACACAGAUAUGAGUGGCCUGUCGUGUUCCUGAAUAGCAAAAAGUUCUGCCAUUUUCUUGUAAGCGUUAUUUUAUGUUGAUUUAAUAUUCAGUGCCUAAAUUGAUACAAAUUACUGCAUUAUUUGUAAAAAUGUGUUGUGAUCAUCUGAAACUAUAUAAUUAUACACUUGCCAUUUACGUCUUUGUGGACUGUUAGGUACUGUAUAUUUGUGCAUUUUAUGCUUGUAUGUCAUUUUGUUACAGUUUACAAUUAGAUUCAGCCUGUGAGAUGAGUUCUGUUCACAGUUUUAUUCACUAUUUCACAAAAUCGUUUCUACAAAAUGUAUGGCCUGUUUUAUAAAAUCAGUACACAUUUUCCAUUUGCCACACUUUAUGUAACAUCUUGUAACAUCUUGCUGAAUCAAAUCUCUAGAAUUAAUAAUUCCAUUAACCAUAAUUUAUGGCCAGUUAGAGCCCCAGUAUAUAUCACUGUUUUUAAGGCAUUGUGUUUAUCUGCUUGAAAUCAGCUCAUUUAAUCUCUCACAAUUUGUAAGUUAAGAAAUUAGUACACUCUGAGCAAGUGUUGUUUCUGUGAUGUUUACCUGAACAACCAACAAACAUCAUUGUCUUAUUUACUUUAGAAAGCUUUUUGUUUAAAAACAAUGCAUUAAGCAUUAUAACAAUAUAUCAUUAAGCAUUGUAUGUCUGCAACUGUUGAAUCUGUAAAUUUUUUGUUUUUACUUUUUGUGUAUUGUGUAUUUGUCUUUAUUUUUUUCACUAAUUAAAAGAUGUCUUUGUUAA